CGAGGCUGCUUAGACUGUCUUUGCACCCAAAGGUUGCAGUAAGUCUGGAUGUCACAUAAAACAAUAUGUGGUACCUCUAGACUUCUUUAUGUAAGAUAUCUGUUUCACAGAUCUAAAAAAACCUUGGUCUGAGGACAGAGGGAACUUCAAAUGCCCAGCUGCAGCCAUGUAACAACGGGACAUUCCUGGACAUUUCUCUGGUCUUCCAAGGAACAAAGGAAGAGUUUACUUAUUUUUAAGAAUAAAAAAAUUCAGCAUCUUGUAAUUACCAUGUAGCUGGCACCUUUGGACAAUUAAAAAAUCCAGUGCACAUUAUGGAAUAUCUAUGAUCUCAAUUUUUCUAUAUCUUGUACAUUUUCUAUUUCAUCAACUUAGGAAUUAUUUUGUUAUUACUCAUCAAGUAUUUCCAAUAAUACUAAAAAAGACUAUAGCCCUAAGAAAAUAGAAUAAUGAUGGAAUAGCCUAGAAGGAUGCUGCAAUUGUGAAAUAAAUCAUCAUCCUAUCAUCAUUCAGUUGUCUUAUUGUGCCGACUAAAAUAUUACAUCAUUCAAGAAGGUAUAAAAGAAGCCUGGAGACAAUUCUGUGGUCUACUUUUAAUUUCAUUGAACACAAUUUAGAAUUUAGAAUUUUUAUUUUCCAUCCAUAACUGUAAAGAAAAGAAAAUUGAUAGAGGAAGAUAUUUCAGUUAUUAGAUGAAUCAGAAGACAAAUUCAAAAAGAUAGAUAGCAGUACACUAUACUUUGAUGAUUAGGGUGAAAUUAAAAUUGAUUGUUCAAUUGAAAUGUCAGACUCUGACUCUUCAGACGACAAUGAAUUUCCUCAAAUUCAAGAAUUAAUAAAUGAACAAUACAUUGCAGAGGACAAAAAGGAAAUAUGGUGGUCUCAUCCAGUUAGUCCUUCAAAUAAAAGAACUUUAUCAUGCAAUAUUUUGUGGCAAGAAGUUGAACCAUCUCAAGUUUUAAAAGAGUACAUUAAAUUACUCUUACUUCUUUUAUAAAAACUUAUGAUUUCUAACUGUGCAAAAACUUAUGAUUUCUAACUGUGCAAAUGCUGAAGAAAAGUGAAGGCAGGUGUCAGAAGGAAGCUGAUAAUGCAUAAAUGAAAAAAAUCAUUGGACUUAUCAUUCUAAGUAAUGUCUAUAGAUCUAAAAAUAAAGAUGUUUUGCAAUUAUGGUAAGAGAGUACAUUGUUUGUUUAACAAAAUUAUGAGCCAUCAAAGAUUUCAAAAAUUCAACUGUUGUAUUUUGAUGAUGUAAGUUCUAAGAGAACCAGAAAUAAUAAUAUGCCAGAAUCUAUUAAAGAUGUGUUUGAAAUCUGUAAUUGGUAUCUACAAUCUGGAUACAUUGCUAUGUUAUGUAUUAUAGUUGAUGAACAGCUAGUUCCUUUCUGAAGAUGAUGUGUCCAAUUUGGAGUAUAUAUGCCUUCAAAACUAAGGAAUUGAUGAAAUAAACAUUUAGCUUUGCUGUA